rnacentral:rRNA from 1 species
UACGAAGGGGCUAGCGUUGUUCGGAUUUAGUCGUGGGCGUAAAGCGCAUCGUAGGCGGAAUCGUUAAGUCGGGGGUGAAAAUCCUGGAGCUCAACUCCAGAACUGCCUUCGAUACUGGGCGAUCUUGAGUCCGGAAGAGGUGAGUGGAACUCCUAGUGUAAGAGGUGGAAUUCGUAGAUAUUAGGAAGAACACCAGUGGCGAAGGCGGCUCACUGGUCCCGGUACCUGACGCUGAGGGUGCGAAAGCGUGGGGAGCAAACAGG